rnacentral:rRNA from 1 species
GAUGAACGCUGGCGGCGUGCUUAACACAUGCAAGUCGAACGGUGAAAGAGAGCUUGCUCUCUGGAUCAGUGGCGAACGGGUGAGUAACACGUGAGCAAUCUGCCCGUGACUCUGGGAUAAGCGCUGGAAACGGCGUCUAAUACCGGAUACGAGCUGCGAAGGCAUCUUCGGCAGCUGGAAAGAACUUCGGUCAGGGAUGAGCUCGCGGCCUAUCAGCUAGUUGGUGAGGUAAUGGCUCACCAAGGCGUCGACGGGUAGCCGGCCUGAGAGGGUGACCGGCCACACUGGGACUGAGACACGGCCCAGACUCCUACGGGAGGCAGCAGUGGGAAAUAUUGCACAAUGGGCGCAAGCCUGAUGCAGCAACGCCGCGUGAGGGACGACGGCCUUCGGGUUGUAAACCUCUUUUAGCAGGGAAGAAGCGAAAGUGACGGUACCUGCAGAAAAAGCACCGGCUAACUACGUGCCAGCAGCCGCGGUAAAAC